UAGUGAAACUAAUAAUCUACAUAUAUUAUAAUAAACUCAACAACAAAUUACAUCAACAAUAAUAAUAUUUAUCAACAACAACAACAAUAACUACAUCUACAACAUCAACAACAUACACUUAUCAACAACAACAACACAAACCAUUUAUGAACAACAAUAAUAAAAUACAUAAACAUUUAUUAAUAAAACGACAACAACAUACCUUUUAUUGAAAAUAUUCAUGGAAUGAUCUGAAGUUGAUCUACUUUGUGUUACUAUGAAGAAAAAAAUACAGGUAGGAUGAAGCUUCCAAUAUAGCUUCAUACUUCUUAUAUUGUUUCUUCUGAACCACGCCCAUAGUAUGAGUUUUCUUGAAUCAGAUUUCAAAAUAUAAACAACUUUCAGAAUGUUAACCUAUUUUGAAGACAUAAACAAGCAUUAACAUAAAUGAAAACAUGACUCAAAAAGGAAGUAAAUCAUGACAAAUGAAAAAACACUUUUUAAGAAGAACUAGUGUCAUACAUGGAACAAAUAUGAAAAAUGUAAGAGAGUUAAUAGAAAAGAUUACUUUUUAGUUUGAAGAAGGUUAUCGCGACGAGUUCGCUGCAUUGGAAGAGAGAAAUAUUGGGGUUUUAUUUUGAGAAAAAAAGGAAGAAAAUGUAUCAAUAACAUGGAAGAAAGCAUAUGAAGAAGAAGACUAACGAGAAAGCGAAUGAACUUGAUUACCUUUAAAUUUGAACAGGCUAAUGAGGAUGAGUUCGCUACAUGUGGAAGAGAGCGUUGUUAGAAUUUUG
rnacentral:lncRNA from 1 species